AUUGAACGCUGGCGGCAGGCCUAACACAUGCAAGUCGAACGAGUGGCGGACGGGUGAGUAAUGUCUGGGAAACUGCCUGAUGGAGGGGGCUAAAUACUGGAAACGGUCGCUAAUACCGAAUACCACCAUAUGUGCACAGAUGGGAUUAGCUUGUUGGUGGGGUAACGGCUCACCAAGGCUACGAUCCCUAGCUGGUGUGAGAGGGUGACCAGCCACACUGGAACGGAGACACGGUCCAGACUCCUACGGGAGGCAGCAGUGGGGAAUAUUGCACAAUGGGCGCAAGCCUGAUGCAGCCAUGCCGCGGGUAUGAAGAAGGCCUUCGGGUUGUAAAGUACUUUCAGCGGGGAGGCGUUACCCGCAGAAGAAGCACCGGCUAACUCCGUGCCAGCAGCCGCGGUAAUUC
rnacentral:rRNA from 1 species